GGCCGCUCGUCGAUCUUUGUCCACAACCUCUAGCGAGAAUAUCCAACAUCAAGAAACUCAAAAUCUGUGCUGACUUCGAUCUUGUUAUGUCCGAUGCUGAUACUGGCAAAGAUUGGUUCGGUCACACGCUCCUUGUAUCAAUUCCUUCUCCUUACUCUUUUUUCUGAGUAUGAUUGUUUUUACCUCAUAUUUCAAUAUAGUAUUUUAAAACGAGGACUUCCAUAUUCCUUUAGGUUUUAGCGUAGUCAUCAAGCGAGUGCCAACGGGAAGAGAGGCGACUAAUGAUCGGGAUGUGAUUGCUAGUACUGUUGAAAAAUUGGGAGGAUGUGUUGGUAGGCUGUAAUCUCGACUUCUGAGGUAAUGCUUUUCACAUUAGUUUUGUAAAAGCAAAGUAAGGUCCUUAUAUGCCCACCAUUUCUUUUAUUUUUUAAUGGAAAAAAUCCCAUUUCUUUGUUCUGUAUGCAUCACUAGAUUGGCUGAUGGAUUCUUUCUUGCAUCGUUGAACAUUCUCAUCAUUGACUACAUUUAAUGAUCUUAUUGGAUUGCAUAUAAAUACAUUGUCUACAUAUUGUUUUCUUGAGUAUACUUAGUACUAGAAAGUGGGGAUGCUCUAUAGUUGGAUUGAAAUUUAGUCAAAUCAAAUUAUUGAGGAAGGCCUCAUCGUAUUCACUCUCCUCUAUAUUAGUCAUAUCAUUAAGAUACGUUCAAUCAUUACUGUCAACUACAUUUUCUCAGAUUACUUCAUUCAAAUGCUAAGUAGCUAAAUAAGAAAAAAUAAAAUCGAAUUCCUUUGUAUAAAAAAAUCCUUUAAAGAGUAAUCACAAUUUAUCAUAUUUUACAUCAGAGUUUUUUAAAAUUAUAAUACUAGCCAUAUAAAACAUAAAAGAAACUCUGUUCUAAUUUGAAUAAUAUAUACGACAAGUGCAGAAUUAUCAAUUCUACAGGAAAUUUUUUUUUCUUUUCACAAUAAGAAAUGCAAAGACAGAACGUUAGCACAACUCUAAAAGAUUGAACUUUUUUUAAAAAUUAAAACCUGAAGUGAUAAACUUUAAAUAAUCAAUAAACAAGCACUAAAAUAAAGUAGAAAUUCUCUUAAUGCUUUUUGAAAAUAACUACAUAUUGUAAUAUUGCAGCAUGAUGUAUAUGAUCUUAAUUAUUGUGGGAGCCAAGAAUAGUAAAUAUCUGAGUAGUGAGGUGAAGGUCUAAGGAUUCUUAAGAUAUGUUUCAAAAAAAUUUGUUCUCCGCUGACGCAUUCUCUUUUUAUAAUAGGUAUUGAGUUUGCUAUUCACACCAACUAUGUCAUUCAUGAGACCCGCCAAUGUCGCUUCCUUGAUAAUCUUAUUAAAUAUUUUAGAAAUAUUUUCAUCAUUUCCAACUAGGCCUUUAAUAAUGUCAUCAUUUCUCAACAGAGCUACAUUAUCCACAUUAUUGAUGAAGCCUU